UGAGGAAUAUUGGUCAAUGGGCGCAAGCCUGAACCAGCCAUCCCGCGUGAAGGACGACUGCCCUAUGGGUUGUAAACUUCUUUUCUGCAUGAAGAAAAUCAGGUACGUGUACCUGAGUGACGGUAAUGCAGGAAUAAGCAUCGGCUAACUCCGUGCCAGCAGCCGCGGUAAUACGGAGGAUGCAAGCGUUAUCCGGAUUCAUUGGGUUUAAAGGGUACGUAGGUGGCCCGGUAAGUCAGUGGUGAAAACCUGCCGCUCAACGGUAGGCGUGCCAUUGAUACUGUCAGGCUUGAGUACAGAUGAGGUAAGCGGAAUGUGUAGUGUAGCGGUGAAAUGCAUAGAUAUUACACAGAACCCCGAUUGCGAAGGCAGCUUACCAAGCUAUUAUUGACGCUGAGGCACGAAAGCGUGGGGAUCGAACAGG
rnacentral:rRNA from 2 species